rnacentral:rRNA from 1 species
UACGUAGGGUGCAAGCGUUGUCCGGAAUUAUUGGGCGUAAAGAGCUCGUAGGCGGUUUGUUGCGUCGGCUGUGAAAACCUGAGGCUCAACCUCAGGCCUGCAGUCGAUACGGGCAGACUGGAGUACUGCAGGGGAGACUGGAAUUCCUGGUGUAGCGGUGGAAUGCGCAGAUAUCAGGAGGAACACCGGUGGCGAAGGCGGGUCUCUGGGCAGUAACUGACGCUGAGGAGCGAAAGCGUGGGGAGCGAACAGG